rnacentral:rRNA from 1 species
AAUGAACGCUGGCGGCAGGCCUAACACAUGCAAGUCGAGCGCCCCGCUAGGGGAGCGGCGAACGGGUGAGGAACACGUGGGAAUCUACCAAAUAGUUCGGAAUAGCCUCGGGAAACUGGGAGUAAUACCGGAUACGCUCUACGGAGGAAAGAUUUAUCGCUAUUUGAUGAGCCCGCGUCUGAUUAGCUAGUUGGUGAGGUAAUGGCUCACCAAGGCGACGAUCAGUAGCUGGUUUGAGAGGAUGAUCAGCCACACUGGGACUGAGAUACGGCCCAGACUCCUACGGGAGGCAGCAGUGAGGAAUAUUGGACAAUGGGCGAAAGCCUGAUCCAGCCAUGCCGCGUGUGUGAUGAAGGCCUUCGGGUUGUAAAGCACUUUGAGUGGGGAAGAUAAUGACGGUACCCACAAAACAAGCCCCGGCUAACUCCGUGCCAGCAGCCGCCGUAA